rnacentral:tRNA from 1 species
GUGGGUAUAGCUCAGUGGUAGAGCACGUGCUUAGCAUGCACGAGGUCCUGGGUUCAAUCCCCGGUACCUCCA